UACGGAGGGUGCGAGCGUUGUCCGGAAUCACUAGGCGUAAAGCGCAGGUAGGCGGCUCGAUAAGUCUCUUGUGAAAGCUCCCGGCUCAACUGGGAGAGGUCAAGGGAAACUGUUGGGCUAGAGUGUGGUAGAGGAAACUGGAAUUCCCGGUGUAGCGGUGAAAUGCGUAGAUAUCGGGAGGAAUACCUAUGGCGAAAGCAGGUUUCUGGGCCAUCACUGACGCUGAGCUGCGAAAGCUAGGGGAGCAAACAGG
rnacentral:rRNA from 1 species